rnacentral:rRNA from 1 species
ACUAAGCCAUGCGAGUCAUUGUAGCAAUACAAGGCAGACGGCUCAGUAACGCGUAGUCAAUCUACCCUAUGGACGGGAAUAACCUCGGGAAACUGAGAAUAAUGCCCGAUAGAACAUUAUGCCUGGAAUGGUUUAUGUUUCAAAUGAUUUAUCGCCAUAGGAUGGGACUGCGGCCUAUCAGUUUGUUGGUGAGGUAAUGGCCCACCAAGACUAUUACAGGUACGGGCUCUGAGAGGAGUAGCCCGGAGAUGGGUACUGAGACACGGACCCAGGCCCUAUGGGGCGCAGCAGGCGAGAAAACUUUGCAAUGUGCGAAAGCACGACAAGGUUAAUCCGAGUGGUUUCUGCUAAAGAAACCUUUUGUCAGUCCUAGAAACACUGAUGAAUAAGGGGUGGGCAAGUUCUGGUGUCAGCCGCCGCGGUAAAACCAGCACCUCAAGUGGUCAGGAUGAUUAUUGGGCCUAAAGCAUCCGUAGCUCGUUUUGUAAGUUUUCGGUUAAAUCCAUGCGCUUAACGUAUGGGCUGCCGGGAAUACUGCAUAACUAGGAAGUGGGAGAGGUAGACGGUACUCGGUAGGAAGGGGUAAAAUCCUUUGAUCUAUUGAUGACCACCUGUGGCGAAGGCGGUCUACCAGAACACGUUCGACGGUGAGGGAUGAAAGCUGGGGGAGCAAACCGGAUUAGAUACCCGGGUAGUCCCAGCUGUAAACUAUGCAAACUCAGUGAUGCAUUGGCUUGUGGCCAAUGCAGUGCUGCAGGGAAGCCGUUAAGUUUGCCACCUGGGAAGUACGUACGCAAGUAUGAAACUUAAAGGAAUUGGCGGGGGAGCACCACAAGGGGUGAAGCCUGCGGUUCAAUUGGAGUCAACGCCGGGAA